UCUCUCUAAACUCUUGUGCCCUAAAGCUUUCUCUGCCUUCUCUCUAGAUUUCCAACUCUCUGAACCGUGAGAAUUUGAGAUAGACACUACCCAAGCGUUCGCGACAUAGAGAGCCUCAUUUCUACCGAACGUUUUCUCCGUUCCGACCGGGUGUGGUGGAAUUUUCGUGGUGUGAGACACCAUAAAGGAGUGUUCCUGUGAGCUUGGUAGUUCAACUCUGAGAGGUGGAUGAGGUACCCCUGGAGCAGGCCUUUGAUGGUGAUGAUGCUGCAGCUUAGUUUGUUUAGGAUUUCUUAGUUAAGUUAUUCUAUCUUGAAAUACUC